GACGAACGCUGGCGGCGUGCUUAACACAUGCAAGUCGAACGGUGACGCGCCUUGCUUUUUGGUGGGCGUGGAUGGGUGGCCAACGGGGGGGUAACACGUUAGUAACCUGCUUCCUUGUUGUGGAUAACGGCAUGAAACUGUGGCUAAUACGGGAUAUUCUGUGUCUGUCGCAUGAUGGGUCUGGGAAAGAUAUUGUUUCUGUGUGGGAUGGGCUCGCGGCCUAUCAGGUUGUUGGUGGGGUGAUGGCCUACCAAGGCGCUGAGGGGUAGCCGGCCUGAGAGGGUCGGCGACAACGGAGGGACGACAACACCGCGCAGACUACUGGAGGAGGCAGUGGGGGAUAAUAGUGAAUGGGGGGAGGAAGGAUGAAGCAGCGCCGCGUGGUGGGAGAUGGAGGCCGGGUGGUUGAGAACUUCUGUCGGCAGUGAAGCAGGCCAGCCUAGUUUGUGGGUGGGUUGACGGUAGCUGAAUAAGAAGCGCCGGCUAACUACGUG
rnacentral:rRNA from 1 species